AUGCCAGCAAAUGAAUACAGCUACGCACUACUCUCUUCUACAGGUGCUAGUUUGAAGCGCACUGUAGCUUUACAGCCAACAUAUAAUUUGGAAGAAGAUAUCUUCAAUGGAAGACCCUCCGGGGAUAAAUGGAUAGACUGUGUAUUUGAAGCAGUGUUAGGCCCUGUGCUGAACAAGGGACAAACUUUUGAAGAGCAGAGGUGUUGUUUUAUUGCAGCAAUAUAAGAAAAUCUUCUGACACCUUAAAGUUUGUGUCAUAGGCCAGAAGUCAGCUUCACCUGCUGAACAGCAGCCUGAAGGGGGAGAAGGUGGAGUGACCCCACGUGCAGCUGAUCAGUCUUCAAGGACACAGAGGAAAAGGCAUUGAUGACAACCAGCUGGCUUCAGCCUUCUUAAGCAGAGCUUCCAGCAGCAAUCAGAUGCUGGUAACAA